GAUGAACGCUGGCGGCGUGCCUAACACAUGCAAGUCGAGCGAACCCUUCGGGGUGAGCGGCGGACGGGUGAGUAACUCGUGGGUAACCUGCCCUGUACACACGGAUAACAUACCGAAAGGUAUGCUAAUACGGGAUAAAGUAUGAGAGUCGCAUGGCUUUUGUAUCAAAGCUCCGGCGGUACAGGAUGGACCCGCGUCUGAUUAGCUAGUUGGUAAGGUAACGGCUUACCAAGGCAACGAUCAGUAGCCGACCUGAGAGGGUGAUCGGCCACAUUGGAACUGAGACACGGUCCAAACUCCUACGGGAGGCAGCAGUGGGGAAUAUUGCACAAUGGGCGAAAGCCUGAUGCAGCAACGCCGCGUGAGCGAUGAAGGCCUUCGGGUCGUAAAGCUCUGUCCUCAAGGAAGAUAAUGACGGUACUUGAGGAGGAAGCCCCGGCUAACUACGUGCCAGCAGCCGCGGUAAUACGUAGGGGGCUAGCGUUAUCCGGAAUUACUGGGCGUAAAGGGUGCGUAGGCGGUCUUUCAAGCCAGAAGUGAAAGGCUACGGCUCAACCGUAGUAAGCUUUUGGAACUGUAGGACUUGAGUGCAGGAGAGGAGAGUGGAAUUCCUAGUGUAGCGGUGAAAUGCGUAGAUAUUAGGAGGAACACCAGUAGCGAAGGCGGCUCUCUGG
rnacentral:rRNA from 1 species